GAUGAACGCUGGCGGCGUGCUUAACACAUGCCAGUCGAACGGAAAGGCCCAAGCUUGCUUGGGUACUCGAGUGGCGAACGGGUGAGUAACACGUGGGUGAUCUGCCCUGCACUUCGGGAUAAGCCUGGGAAACUGGGUCUAAUACCGGAUAGGACCACUUCUUGGAUGUUGUGGUGGAAAGUUUUUUCGGUGUGGGAUGAGCUCGCGGCCUAUCAGCUUGUUGGUGGGGUAAUGGCCUACCAAGGCGUCGACGGGUAGCCGGCCUGAGAGGGUGUACGGCCACAUUGGGACUGAGAUACGGCCCAGACUCCUACGGGAGGCAGCAGUGGGGAAUAUUGCACAAUGGGCGCAAGCCUGAUGCAGCGACGCCGCGUGGGGGAUGACGGCCUUCGGGUUGUAAACUCCGUUCGCUAGGGACGAAGCGUUUUGUGACGGUACCUGGAGAAGAAGCACCGGCUAACUACGUG
rnacentral:rRNA from 1 species